CUAGAUAGUGUUGUUCAAAAUUCACGCCUACUGAUUUCUUGGAUCUGAUCAUGGACUCGCGAGAUUCGUCUUCAUCCCAAUCGACGCCCGCGGCGAAUCGAGAGACUACUGCUUCUGCUGCCGCUGCUUCAUCGUCCACUGCCGGUGAGGAUGACGCCGUUCUCUCUGUAACUGCUGCUCUUGCUAAGGACGCGGCCUUGCAUUUCCAGUCUCGCCGUUU
rnacentral:misc_RNA from 1 species